rnacentral:rRNA from 1 species
UCACUUUCAACAACGGAUCUCUUGGCUCUCGCAUCGAUGAAGAACGUAGCGAAGUGCGAUAAGUAAUGUGAAUUGCAGAAUUCCGUGAGUCAUCGAAUCUUUGAACGCAAAUUGCACUCCCUGGCAUUCCAAGGAGUAUGCCUGUUUGAGGGUCAGUU